CUUGGGGUAAAUUCCCCGGACGUAAGGGCAGAGAGUGCCAGCCAGAAAUGGUAAAUCCCGGCGCGGAUGCCGCCCCCUUUUCCUCCUCUCACUUCGUUCACGCGACGAUGGUCUCCACCCCAACCUGCACCUGCUGGCUGGGGAGGGGACAAGAGCGUUUAGAAGAUAGAGGAUUUAAAAGCGUGGGGGGGGUCGGCUCCGUCAACCAGCCGCCGUCUUAUGCAAAGUUAUGCCAUCUUUUUGAAAACACAACGGGGGCUACU
rnacentral:RNase_MRP_RNA from 16 species